CCUAGGGGAGGCAGCAGUGAGGAAUAUUGGUCAAUGGACGCAAGUCUGAACCAGCCAUGCCGCGUGCAGGAAGACGGCUCUAUGAGUUGUAAACUGCUUUUGUACGAGGGUAAACGCAGAUACGCGUAUCUGGCUGAAAGUAGCGUACGAAUAAGGAUCGGCUAACUCCGUGCCAGCAGCCGCGGUAAUACGGAGGAUUCAAGCGUUAUCCGGAUUUAGUGGGUUUCAAGGGUGCGUAGGCGGUCGGAUAAGUGAGAGGGGAAAUCCCGCGGCUAAACUGCGGAAUGGCCUCUGAUACUGUUCGGCUAGAGCGUAGUUGCGGUAGGCGGACU
rnacentral:rRNA from 1 species